rnacentral:rRNA from 1 species
UACGUAGGGGGCAAGCGUUGUCCGGAUUUAUUGGGCGUAAAGAGCGUGUAGGCGGUUUGGUAGGUCCGCUGUGAAAACUCGAGGCUCAACCUCGAGACGCCGGUGGAAACCAUCAGGCUAGAGUCCGGAAGAGGAGAGUGGAAUUCCUGGUGUAGCGGUGAAAUGCGCAGAUAUCAGGAGGAACACCAAUGGCGAAGGCAGCUCGCUGGGACGUUACUGACACUGAGGCGCGAAAGCGUGGGGAGCGAACAGG